rnacentral:rRNA from 1 species
GCCUAAAGCGUCCGUAGCCGGCUCUGUAAGUUUUCGGUUAAAUCCAUAUGCUCAACAUAUGGGCCGCCGGGAAUACUGCAUAGCUAGGGAGUGGGAGAGGUAGACGGUACUCCGUAGGAAGGGGUAAAAUCCUUUGAUCUAUGGAUGACCACCUGUGGCGAAGGCGGUCUACCAGAACACGUUCGACGGUGAGGGAUGAAAGCUGGGGGAGCAAACCGGAUUAGAUACCCGGGUAGUCCCAGCUGUAAACUAUGCAAACUCAGUGAUGCAUUGGCUUGUGGCCAGUGCAGUGCCGCAGAGAAGUCGUUAAGUUUGCCGCCUGGGAAGUACGUACGCAAGUAUGAAACUUAAAGGAAUUGGCGGGGGAGCACCACAAGGGGUGAAGCCUGCGGUUCAAUUGGAGUCAACGCCAGAAAUCUUACCCGGAGAGACAGCAGAAUGAAGGUCAAGUUGAAGCCUUUACCAGACAAGCUGAGAAGUGGUGCAUGGCCGUCGCCAGCUCGUGCCGUGAGGUGUCCUGUUAAGUCAGGUAACGAGCGAGAUCCUUGCCUCUAGUUGCUACCAUUACUCUCAGGAGUAGUGGGGCGAAUUAGCGGGACUGCCGUAGUUAAUACGGAGGAAGGAGAGGGCCACGGCAGGUCAGUAUGCCCCGAA